rfam:Candidatus Fischerbacteria bacterium RBG_13_37_8 RBG_13_scaffold_9039, whole genome shotgun sequence.
AACGGCUUACAGGAGCAGUUGUCAAACCGCCCUGAGCUGCAUAUGUCAAAAGCAUGUGUGGUGAGCGUCAGGGAAAAGGUUUCACUAUGAUAAAAUCAGGU